rnacentral:sRNA from 1 species
UGUCUUUUGCGUAGUUGAGGGCAUCGA